AAAGAAAGAUGCCGGUUUGUCGUAGACGGUCACAGCCCUGCAAUGAAAUCAUGGCGGGGCUAUUGGGGGUGCUGAAGAAAGGCCUCAGGAAUAGAGGACUCAGAGGCUCCAGGAAAAGAAGGACGCUUGGGGAAUCCAAGUCUCAGACGAUGACAAGAAAAAGCCUUGCAAUUACUUGGGAAUGCACAGAGAGAUGUCCUAGGACCAAAACUGCCUGGACCCCCUGGCUGGCUGGGAAGGAAACUCUGCCCCCUCCUCUCCCAGCUUCCCCAAAUUUUCCCAUAAUGUUGCCAAGCAUUAGUCCAGCGUGAAGGCUACUUUCUUCUCAAACCACUCAUUUGGGUCCCGCGCCCAAUGUCACCCAUCCUCAGCAAAACAACCUUUAUUUCCUUCUUCCUGCUUUCCAGAAAGUUCCCCUAAAGCCCUGAGAAAUCACCGAAUGAAAGAGGCUUUUUACAAACAGGAAACUUAAGUGGAGUGCCAAUACACAACAUGAAUUGCACCAGGCUGGGUCUAAGAUAAAACCAGACUGUGGACAACAGGACAGAUAAGACCCCCCACAUGGCUCUGCACUGCCUGGGUCUGUUAUUAUGUGGAGGAAUGUCAGUCUGUUGCUCCUGUGGGUGGAGCUGAAGCAUGAACCAGGAGUCUUCAUCCUUAGAAAGCAGUUAGACAGACACCUGAGAACCAAUCCCAAACUGCAGACUUCCACAGAACCUUCUGGAACCUUCCCGAAUGCAACUCAUUACUGCCAGAGGGUCUUUGAUGAGAGUCUACUCUCCACCAUUUGUCUUCAAAGAGAAUACCCACAUAUUCUCUUUCCAUGGAAAGGCUUGGAAAUCUAGUGUAUAUUUUACACUAACAGCAUAUCUCAACUGAGACGGCCACAUCUCAAGUGGCCAGUAGCCAUGUGUGGCCUGAGGCCAUGACUCUGGGCAGUACAGCUUUAGGUCAAACGUGCCUCACAAAGGGGCCAGUGGAGGUGCCUCCAUUUACUUGGGAGCUUGGCCUCUCCAGCUUGCCUUCCUACUGCCUGGAAGAAGAUUGAUGUCCUCUUGCCUUCUCUAGCCUCUUUCCCAAGAACCCUCCCAGAAUUUAGUCCUAUGAAGGGCCAGGGGUGCAAGGAGUCACCCACACAAUGACAGGACCCACCAGCAAUACCAGAAGUUGGCCAGCCCUACUCAUCCAAAUUCCUUUCUGCCAGCUGGACAUCACAAGGAUUUCAGACUUCCAUCCUGCGGCAACUCCAUUUUGGGGUCCGGGGGUUUAAGGGUUACUCUAUUAGUCCUUUCUC
rnacentral:lncRNA from 1 species